GCCUAACUGCUGGGAUAGCUCAGUCAGUAGAGCAUGAGACUCUUAAUCUCUGGGUCGGGCGUUCGAGCCCCACAAUGGGCA